AACAAAAAGGAGUCAAAGAGCUGCAGUAUUUUCCGAAUUAUCGGGCAAUAAAAAAAAGCAAAUUUGAAUGAGAAAAUAAUUCAUUUUGAUGAAUCUGGGAGUCGGCGACGAAUGAGACGGUUUCAUGCCACGUCGACGAUAUCUCCACAUCAGCAGUACGAAUUAAGCGUAGCCAGCCACGCUUUCGCGUGCACUCCGCCCCCGCGGCUCAUAGUGUCGGCCGCACUGGGACGACACUAUCAUGAAAAGCGCCAGCAGCGGGGAGUGAAUGCUUCGUCUGCCUCUCGUUCCAACGUGCCACCGAAACUCGAGAUUAUGCAACCUCCAAUACUAACACGCGGGAAGACAGCUUACAUGAUGCCACCCCGUCUCGACAUGCCCACUCUUGGCACACACGGCAGAUUAUUUCUAAAGCAGGGUGCGUGGCUGCAUAAGCGCUCAGCCGUGCUUACAGCUGUGUGCAGCCAGGGCCGAG
rnacentral:lncRNA from 1 species